rnacentral:miRNA from 1 species
AUACACACACACCACACAUAUAUAUAUAUACACACAUAUACAUGUGUGUGUGUAUAUAUAAAUGUGUGUAUAUGUGUAUAUAU